rnacentral:lncRNA from 1 species
CCAAACCCUCCACCAUCAAAUACAAAACCCCCAAACCCUCCACCAUCACUGCCAACCCAAAUCCUUUAACCCCAAAUCAAUACAAAACCCCCAAAUCCCAAAUCUUCAAUUGAUUUGUCAGCCCUAGAGCGCUUGAUUUAUCAAACAAGCUUUCAGCUUCAAUUGAUAGAUUUGUGUCCGCAACAAAAAACGUGCUGAAUCCUAUCAUUAACGACAACCAUGCCUCAAGGAGAUUACAUAGAGCUUCAUAGGAAGAGAAAUGGAUACCGCCCUGAUCAUUUUGAGAGGAAGCGAAAGAAGGAAGCUCGUGAAGUUCACAAGCGUUCUAAAGUUGCCCAAACGGCUUUAGGAAUAAAAGGGUAAGAUGUUUGCUAAGAAACGAUAUGCAGAGAAAGCUCAAAUGAAGAAGA